GAUGAACGCUGGCGGCGUGCCUAACACAUGCAAGCCGAGCGAUUUACUUCGGUAAAGAGCGGCGGACGGGUGAGUAACGCGUGGGUAACCUGCCCUGUACACACGGAUAACAUACCGAAAGGUAUGCUAAUACGAGAUAAUAUGCUUUUAUCGCAUGGUAGAAGUAUCAAAGCUUUUGCGGUACAGGAUGGACCCGCGUCUGAUUAGCUAGUUGGUAAGGUAACGGCUUACCAAGGCGACGAUCAGUAGCCGACCUGAGAGGGUGAUCGGCCACAUUGGAACUGAGACACGGUCCAAACCCCUACGGGAGGCAGCAGUGGGGAAUAUUGCACAAUGGGCGAAAGCCUGAUGCAGCAACGCCGCGUGAGCGAUGAAGGCCUUCGGGUCGUAAAGCUCUGUCCUCAAGGAAGAUAAUGACGGUACUUGAGGAGGAAGCCCCGGCUAACUACGUG
rnacentral:rRNA from 1 species